rnacentral:rRNA from 1 species
UACGUAGGGACCAAGCGUUGUUCGGAUUUACUGGGCGUAAAGGGCGCGUAGGCGGCCAUAUAAGUCAGAUGUGAAAGCUCCGGGCUCAACCCGGGAAUUGCAUCUGAUACUGUAAGGCUUGAGUUCGGUAGAGGAGGGCGGAAUUCCAGGUGUAGCGGUGAAAUGCGUAGAUAUCUGGAGGAACACCCGUGGCGAAGGCGGCUCUCUGGUCCGAAACUGACGCUGAGGCGCGAAAGCUAGGGGAGCAAACAGGG